UGCAAGUCGAACGGCAGCACGGGAGCUUGCUCCUGGUGGCGAGUGGCGAACGGGUGAGUAAUACAUCGGAACGUACCCAGUAGUGGGGGAUAACGCACCGAAAGGUGCGCUAAUACCGCAUACGACCUAAGGGUGAAAGCGGGGGACCGUAAGGCCUCGCGCUAUUGGAGCGGCCGAUGUCUGAUUAGCUAGUUGGUGAGGUAAAGGCUCACCAAGGCUUCGAUCAGUAGCUGGUCUGAGAGGACGAUCAGCCACACUGGGACUGAGACACGGCCCAGACUCCUACGGGAGGCAGCAGUGGGGAAUUUUGGACAAUGGGCGAAAGCCUGAUCCAGCAAUGCCGCGUGUGCGAAGAAGGCCUUCGGGUUGUAAAGCACUUUUGUCAGGGAAGAAAUCUUUUAGGCUAAUACCUUGGAAGGGUGACGGUACCUGAAGAAUAAGCACCGGCUAACUACGUGCCAGCAGCUGCGGUAAUACGUAGGGUGCAAGCGUUAAUCGGAAUUACUGGGCGUAAAGCGUGCGCAGGCGGUUUGUUAAGACAGUCGUGAAAUCCCCGGGCUUAACCUGGGAACUGCGAUUGUGACUGGCAAGCUAGAGUACGGCAGAGGGGGGUGGAAUUCCUGGUGUAGCAGUGAAAUGCGUAGAGAUCAGGAGGAACACCGAUGGCGAAGGCAGCCCCCUGGGCUAGUACUGACGCUCA
rnacentral:rRNA from 1 species